UACGUAGGCAGCGAGCGUUGUUCGGAGUUACUGGGCGUAAAGAGUGCGUAGGCGGUGCUCCAAGUCUGGUGUGAAAUCUCCCGGCUUAACCGGGAGGGUGCGCCGGAAACUGGGGUGCUGGAGUGUGGGAGAGGUAAGCGGAAUUCCCGGUGUAGCGGUGAAAUGCGCAGAUAUCAGGAGGAACACCGAUGGCGAAGGCAGGUCACUGGGCCGCAACUGACGCUGAGGAGCGAAAGCAUGGGGAGCGAACAGG
rnacentral:rRNA from 1 species